UCCCACUCCAGGACCGCACGGAUUUCGAUGAUCACAAUGUGCCCCAUGUCCUCCCUCCCGCGUUCCCCCCUCCCCUCUCCCCUCCCCGCCCGGAGUCUAGCCGAUUUUUCCAGAUCCUUCUGCAUCCUCCAUCCUCUCAAGUCCGGGCUUGCCUGGCAGCCCGCCCUGUUGAUCCAGGACCACAACGCACUAGCUGGAGCCGGUCAGCCAGAUAGGAAGUGACAAUGGUCGGCCUCCCGCGGUGGGGCUGCACGGGUCUCGGGCCUGGGCACCUGAGCGGUGUGGAGCAUAGAAGCAGGCAGGGGGAGUGAAAGCGUUGGCCCGGAAGGGAACGGUUUCAGCCCAGGUGCACAAAUCAUGGGACACAACUUUGUCUCCUGGCAGCCUGGCAGGCCCACCGGGAUGAGCUGCUUUCCACAUGCCGGGAGCAGAUUUGUUAGAGAUGAUCCCCUGAGCCAAUGACUUGUGAGUGGAUUUGUAAGAGAUGAUCCCCUGAGCCAAUGACUUGUGAGUGGGGAGGAAGGAACCUUUUCUUCCCAACCAGCGACUCCUAAGAGAUGCCUGUGGAGUUCCGGGUCUGUGUGGCUAAAUCCGUGAAGUUCUAGUUGUAUCGAAACAGUGCCGGUUUGAUCAAAAGAUCUGUCUGGAGAGGUUCGCACCCUGGGACUCUGCCCGGCACCCUGGCGCCACAGUUAUACAUAGUCCCUGAAUAACAGCACAGGAGAGAGAAACCACUAAAAACAAAAGGAUUCUUCAGAGAAGAAACAGAAAUGGAAGCUAGAAACUGUGGAACAGAUUUUCCAAGAAUGCAAACAAAAAUACAAGGUGCUAAGAAUGAUGAAAAAAACCUUAAAAGGAAAAAAAAAAAAAAGGUGAAAUGCGAAGAGGAGUCAGGUGGGAGACACUGGCCUGUUCUGCCUCCUGGUGGUCUCACACUGAGCAAGUUCUGUGUAUUUUCCAGGUUGGAAGUCUUGCUUGCCUUUAGGUUUUUCUGUCAGCAUACAAAGUAAUGGGUUUCAUUAUGGCAUUUCUUAUAUAGAUGUCACUGUCCUUUGUCCUUAUCCCCCACUGUUCUCUCCCAACCCUCUCCCCAUUCUGUUUGCUUUUCCCACGUGGUCUCCCUUUCGGCUUUCAUCUCCUAUAUACACACAUUUAUACAUUUAGAAUCCACACAUGUAAGCAAGCCUAGUAUUUGUUCAGGUGUGCCUCAUUUUGCUUAGCAUAAUCUUCAGUUCUGUCCUCCUUUCUGUAAGGCUGAAUGACAUUUCACUGCGCAUAUACCACAUUCUUAAACCCACUGUUGCUGGACUUCUCGCCACUCCACAACUUACAGCAGCAGGUGUGGAAGCCUCGCAUCCACUUUGUUAGGUUUAGCCCUGGGUCUUUUUGUUUUGCUGCUGCUUUAAAUGUCUCCAAAGAUUUUCUAUUUACUUCUGAUCUAUCAAAGGCAUGGAGAGAUGUUUCAGCUGCUAAAGGUUAAGCUCACAACCCAAAUGUCAAAAUGUAUUUUCCUUGUAUUAUGCACAAUAUUUGUAAUGGGACUUAGCGGUUAACCAUUAUUACUGUUUUUGUUUUCAGAAGUGAGAUCUCAUCAUGUAUCCCAGAGUGGCCUCCCACUUGAAAUUCUUGUCUCUGCCUUCCAAAUGUUUGGAUUAAAGGUCUGUGCUACCACACCUGGCCAUUUUUACUAUUCCAGGUGGACAGUUCAGCCGUUUUAAAUACAAUGUUGUGCAACCACACUUUUUUGUUGUUUUUGUUGUUACACAGGGUCUCCUGUAGCCCAAGCUGCCCUUGAAAUUGCCAUGUGGCCAAGGGUGGCCUUGAACUUCUGAUUCCCCUGCUUCUACCUCCCAACUUCUGGGAUUACAGGUGUGUAACACCAUACCUGGUAUCGUGUUUUGCUAUAGGGUCUUGUUGGUCUCAAACUCAUAAUCCCCCUUCCUUGCCCGUGAAUGCUGGUAUCAUAGGCACCCAUUACUCCAAUUCUUGUUUUAAGCAACAAGUUUAUGUAUCUGUUGUAUGUACAGCACUCAGCCUUCAGCAAAGGUCGUGGACUGAGUUAUUGCAACUCUCAGUCCACACUGUUUUUAGUUCUUCCAUAUUGUUUGCAGUGGAAGGGAGCAGAGGUGUUGCAAGUGCUGGGGACAACAGGAGAAAGCCACCCCUGGAGGCGCUUGAGCCUCUGCACAUCAGUGGAGGAGGCUUAGAUGAAUAAAGUGCUUUAAUGAGCUGAAGGGCAGAAUCGUGAGUCUGCUAGAUUCUGGGAGCUGAGAUCCUGGCCUCAGACCCUCAGGUUAUAUCACGUGCCCAGAUGGGGAGGAAAGGAAUACUGAGAGAGAUUCCUCUCUUCAUCUGCUCCUCCUCAGUGUGGUGGGCAGGCAAACAUGCUGUGUUCUUUAUUAUGGGAGAAUGGCCCCACCUACUUCCA